UACGUAGGGGGCAAGCGUUGUCCGGAUUUAUUGGGCGUAAAGAGCGUGUAGGCGGCCAGGUAGGUCAGCUGUGAAAACUCGAGGCUUAACCUCGAGACGCCGGCUGAAACCCUCUGGCUAGAGUCCGGAAGAGGAGAGCGGAAUUCCUGGUGUAGCGGUGAAAUGCGCAGAUAUCAGGAAGAACACCCGUGGCGAAGGCGGUUCUCUGGGACGGUACUGACGCUGAGACGCGAAAGCGUGGGGAGCGAACAGG
rnacentral:rRNA from 1 species